GUACGGCUCAUUAACACGUAGUCAACCUGCCCUGGAGACAUGGACAACCCCGGGAAACUGGGAUUAAUCCGUGAUAGGUCAUCUCAUCUGGAAGGAGAGAUGGCUUAAAGGGAUGCACGGGCUUCUUCCGUGUAUUUGCUCCAGGAUGGGACUGCGUCCGAUCAGGCUGUUGGCGGGGUAAUGGCCCACCAAGCCAGUAACCGGUACGGGCCUUGAGAGAGGUGGCCCGGAGAUGGACACUGAGAGAAGGGUCCAGGUCCUACGGGGCGCAGCAGGCGCGAAACCUUCGCAAUGCGCGAAAGCGUGACGAGGUUAAUCCGAGUGACUUCCGCUGAGGAGGUCUUUUGUCAGCUGUAAAUAGGCAGGCGAAUAAGGGGAGGGCAAGCCUGGUGUCAGCCGCCGCGGUAAUACCAGCUCCUCGAGUGGUCGGGGCGAUUAUUGGGCCUAAAGCAUCCGUAGCCGGUUCCGUAGGUCCUCUGUUAAAUCCAACCGCUCAACGGUUGACCUGCAGAGGAUACCGCGGGACUAGGAGGCGGGAGAGGCGGACGGUACUCCGCGUGUAGGGGUAAAAUCCUUUGAUCCGCGGAAGA
rnacentral:rRNA from 1 species